rnacentral:tRNA from 3 species
ACUUAAAUAGCUUAUAUAAAGAGUAUAAUUUUGAAGAGAUUAGGGAAGUUUUAAACUUUUAAGUA